rnacentral:rRNA from 1 species
AACGAACGCUGGCGGCAGGCUUAACACAUGCAAGUCGAACGCUCGACCUUCGGGUCGGGAGUGGCAGACGGGUGAGUAACGCGUGGGAACGUACCCUUCGGUUCGGAAUAACCCAGGGAAACUUGGGCUAAUACCGGAUACGUCCUGGCCUGGAGACAGGGUGGGAGAAAGGUUUACUGCCGAAGGAUCGGCCCGCGUCGGAUUAGCUAGUUGGUGGGGUAACGGCCCACCAAGGCGACGAUCCGUAGCUGGUCUGAGAGGAUGAUCAGCCACACUGGGACUGAGACACGGCCCAGACUCCUACGGGAGGCAGCAGUGGGGAAUAUUGGACAAUGGGCGAAAGCCUGAUCCAGCCAUGCCGCGUGAGUGAAGAAGGCC